GUAGGGAAUCUUGCGCAAUGGGCGAAAGCCUGACGCAGCCAUGCCGCGUGAAUGAUGAAGGUCUUAGGAUUGUAAAAUUCUUUCACCGGGGACGAUAAUGACGGUACCCGGAGAAGAAGCCCCGGCUAACUUCGUGCCAGCAGCCGCGGUAAUACGAAGGGGGCUAGCGUUGCUCGGAAUUACUGGGCGUAAAGGGAGCGUAGGCGGAUAGUGUAGGCAGAGGUGAAAUACCAGGGCUCAACCUUGGAAUUGCCUUUGAUACUGGCUAUGUUGAAUAUGGAGGGUGUAGGUGGAACUCCGAGUGUAGAGGUGAAAUUCGUAGAUAUUCGGAAGAACACCAGUGGCGAAGGCGACAUACUGGUCCAUUACUGACGCUGAGGCUCGAAAGCGUGGGGAGCAAACAGGAUUAGAAACCCCAGUAGUCC
rnacentral:rRNA from 1 species